UAAUUUAACAGUGAUAGCAUAUAUAACAACCCGAAAACAUUUAGACCUCGAUUGUUACUUAUAUGUGCGCCAUAAAUUAAUUGCUACAAUAGUGAAAAUUUUGGUUGCUGUUAAAUUA
rnacentral:rRNA from 1 species